GACUGUACAACCCGUUACCUU
rnacentral:miRNA from 1 species